AUUUAUUUAGUUUCGUGCUUAAAAACAUAAAUAAAUGCAUUUGAAAGUGACCGAUACUUUUCCGAUAACAAGUACCAAAAUUCGACGCUAAGUCACCGCCGCUAGUUUGACGCACAUCUCGUGAUAGCGUUUUAAUCCAAGCUUAAAUCCUUUCCCGAUUUAUCGUCUCUGACGGCGGGUUGAUUGGAGUGCCACUUAACCAAUGGGAAGAGUCCUCGGCGAAGCAUCUCGAUGACCUCUUUUUUAUGUUCUGCAACACGAUGAGCUCGUUUGCUCCCCAAUAUAAAACGAUGAUUUAACAGUGGAUGCACCAAAUGGAAACUCGUUCACAUGCAGAUCUAUAUAUUGCAAACUGCGAACGGAUAAGUAGGGGGCCGUGGCCGAUCCAUAGGUUAAUGUAUUUAGCUCAAAGGUCUGCAAAUCAGCACCAGGGGAUGCUCUCCAAUAUAUAUAUAUUAAAAUUUCCGAUUCACUGGGCUGACUAAACGAACCAAUCGAAAACGUAGGAGAAUUAUAUACAGAUCUUCUUGGAUUGUUGGGCAACGAAAAGCAAAUCAUUUAAUGAACGCUGGCACGAUGUAGUGCUUGAAGCGUCAAACACGCCUCUUAACUUCGUUGAUGCACUGCUGGGAUUAAAGCACAAUGGUUAGUUACAUAUUGCUAUCGAACAUUAGGCUGGAGACUGAGGCGCCUCUCGAGCAAUAAUGACCGACGACGUGCAACAUAGCUUGAAUUGCCAAGGCACGUUGGGUUUCCCCACCGUUAUUCAUCUGUGUUGUCCUUGACUACAUAUUUUUACAGAGCCGUUGUUCCGGAGUGAUUGACUUUGAAAAAUUUUGUAUAGCAUCAAUGCUCCACAGUAAUUGAAGAUUUUUGUCAAUUGACUCCUCCACAGAAAACAAACUCGUUGAUGACGCUUAGCCGACUGAUGACGAUACUUCCCAGAUACAAUCCAUCCAAGCAACGUUUUCUGAUGAACUGGUCAUUUGUCUCCAAUCUUGAUCUGUCCAACAAUCAGGCAUUUGAAAAAUGCCUCUGUACCGAGAUCAGUCCGACGGUGUAUUCGUGAGCAACCUCCAAUCUAACGUGUUUAUUUCCGAAUCCGGCUGGUAGGCAAUGUGAGACGUUAUGCAGAACUGUAGUGUUAAUUCAAAUGGUGACAAACGAGAUUCAAUUCGAGUUGUUAUACAGUUGUUAAUUUUAUUUGCAGACUCCCGUAUGGUGCGGCUUUUGAACUGAUGCUUGUCACGUUAUGAAAUUGACUUAGGAGCAUGAGUCAAUUAAUGCUCUGCCUUCUUUAUACACCCCUGAUGAAUCUCGCACUAGCACCUUUGCAGUAGCAAUAAAAAAUUGUCCGCCUUGCGACGGAUUCAUAUGCGACUACCUUGCGGCAGAAGUUGUUGAGGACAUGUGCGCUAUGGCUAAUGGCGAUACAAUAAUAGCGUGUGAUGGCGAUCUUGCAGCCUCGACAACGAUUGUUAGAAGGAUCCGAUGUCUUGAUUGCAGGCAAUUAAUGCAAAGUCUAGCAUUUUUAAUGACUCCGUACUUGAGUUUGGGACUCAUGUCUUCAAACUGAGAAAAUUGUACUUUCCUAUGGACGGAGUUGAAGCUUACAAUGCGUGUUGGAUUAGUAAUAGCAAACAAUAAUCCCUUGCAUGUGUUAUUUUUUCGAAGAAUCAGCCAUUUGAUACUAUGCGAUGCCGCUUGAUUGUAGAAACUGACAAUGAAGUGCAGUGAGCCUUAUUUAGCAAUGUACUUAAGUCAAGAGCCACAUUCCGCUUGUUACGUGUUUCAUGAUCACAUUUUCCGAUGACGAUGAAUAUUAACUUGGCUUGGGCAAUAUCUGAUCCGGUACCCAAUAACGAUAAUGAUGAGUACAGGGCAGACGCAUUGUCCAGUAGACUGCGCAGCUGAUUUCAGCCCGGUUUGUCAACUGGCUGAAGAUUGAACAGCUAAUCGAAUGUGUCUAAAUAUUUUAGCGACGAAUCAACGAAUCAACGGCGGCCAGAAUGAAGCUGUGAAGCAAAGGCAAUGCGCAAUCUAAAUCAGAGCGUAUCCAGCGACGAAGAAAAGGCAGCGAUAAUGCCCUUAGUUGGCCAAACGCUACUGCCGAUGCUUUAUUUUGUGAAGAGUUCGAGGAAGCCUUUUACCAACGAUCGCAACGAUAUGCCGCCAAUUUCCACGCUCUGACAUUGUGCGCUAAAAUGUUGGAUCAAAAGCGUUUUUUUUUACCUUUUAAGAAUCUAAUCUCAAGUGGGCGUGUGUGGAUGGUAUGAAGUUUUAAUAAAGGUUUCACAAAUUAAUGAGCA